rnacentral:rRNA from 1 species
UGAAUACGAGACGCUAAGGCGUCGAAGUAGUGUAUGUCAUACUUCCAAGAAAAGCUUGCACUGUCAUAGAUAAAAAACGCCUGUACCAUAACCGACACAGGUGGGUAGGUAGAGUAUACUAAGGGGCGCGAGAUAACUCUCUCUAAGGAACUCGGCAAAAUAACUCCGUAACUUCGGGAGAAGGAGUGCCUUAUUCUUAAGGUUGCAAUAACAAGAUCCAAGCAACUGUUUAUCAAAAACACAGGUCUCCGCUAAGUCGUAAGACGAUGUAUGGGGGCUGACGCCUGCCCAGUGCCAGAAGGUUAAAGAAGCUGGUUAGCAUUUGCGAAGCUAGUAACUGAAGCCCUGGUGAACGGCGGCCGUAACAAUAACGGUCCUAAGGUAGCGAAAUUCCUUGUCGGGUAAGUUCCGACCCGCACGAAAGGCGUAAUGAUUUGGAUACUGUCUCGGAGAGGGGCUCGGUGAAAUAGACUUGUCUGUGAAGAUGCGGACUACCUGCACCAGGACAGAAAGACCCUAUGAAGCUUUACUGUAACUUGAAAUUGAAAUUGGACUUUAUUCGCGCAGUAUAGGUGGGAGGCGUUGAUUAUAAUCUUGCGGGAUUAUUGGAGCCAUUAGUGAGAUACCACUCUUGUAAUGUUAGAUUUCUAACUUUGAAUCAUUAUCUGGUCAAAGAACAGUUUCAGGCGGGCAGUUUGACUGGGGCGGUCGCCUCCCAAACGGUAACGGAGGCGUACAAAGGUUUCCUCUGAACGGUUAGAAAUCGUAUCUAGAGUGUAAAGGCAUAAGGAAGCUUGACUGUGAGACCUACAAGUCGAGCAGGGACGAAAGUCGGUCUUAGUGAUCUGACGGUACUGAGUGGAAAGGCCGUCACUCAACGGAUAAAAGUUACUCUAGGAUAACAGGCUGAUCUCCCCCAAGAGUUCACAUCGACGGGGAGGUUUGGCACCUCGAUGUCGGCUCAUCGCAUCCUGGGGCGGUAGUACGUCCCAAGGGUUGGGCUGUUCGCCCAUGAAAGCGGUACGCGAGCUGGGUUCAGAACGUCGUGAGACAGUUCGGUCCAUAUCCGGUGUAGGCGUUAGAAUAUUGAGAGGAGCCUUCUUUAGUACGAGAGGACCGAGAAGGACAUACCUCUGGUGUACCAGUUAUCGUGCCAACGGUAGACGCUGGGUAGCUAUGUAUGGAGUGGAUAACCGCUGAAAGCAUCUAAGUGGGAAGCCCACCUCAAGAUAAGUAUUC